GACGAACCGUGCGAACGUUGUUCGGAAUCACUGGGCUUAAAGGGCGCGUAGGCGGGCUGCCGCGUCCGGGGUGAAAGCCCCCAGCUCAACUGGGGAAGGGCCUUGGAAACUGCCGGUCUCGAGGGAGGUAGGGGCCUGUGGAACUUCGGGUGGAGCGGUGAAAUGCGUUGAUAUCCGAAGGAACGCCGGUGGCGAAAGCGACGGGCUGGAUCUCUUCUGACGCUGAGGCGCGAAAGCUAGGGUAGCGAACGGG
rnacentral:rRNA from 1 species